rnacentral:lncRNA from 1 species
CUUGCCUGGUGAGGAGAGCAGAAAAGGAGCGUACCCGGAUGGUGCACACGCGAACCCCCAUCCUUCGGAGCCGAGAGGUACUCUGAAGCGCUAAGAGCUUGUCUGUAAAGAGAAGAAAUGAAUCAGA